rnacentral:lncRNA from 1 species
AAACACGGACUCUUGUCUGUUACUUUAAGUAACUCAUAGUCUAGUCUGGGAAUUUCAUGUUCCUAGAAUGAUUAGAAACAAAGAUGUCUAAGGAAGGGGAGUGGGAAAAUGGCUCCUUAAAAGGCUUUUUGAGAAGGAUUCUGAAAUCACAUCAGAGCUGAGUGAGGACAAGUGCCCUAAUGAACUGCUGGUGUUUGCCAUGGCCAUGGAGAAGAGAGGGCAGAGGCACCUGAGCCGUUGCCUUAAUCUUCACCCUAACAGCAGAGGAGGCUGAGACAUUGAGUAAUGCAGAGAUUGGCAACGCAGAACGGAAGUCACAGUGCCCGGGAAGAAAUGAACUUCUUAAAAGUUUCUAAUGGCAUAUUACAACAUGCAUCCUCAACAUGCAGAGACCUAUUUGAAAUUCGCUCCUUGGAGGAGUAGAGAAGAUAGGAAGGCGUGUUACUCGCCUGGGGUGACGAUCUCACCGAACUCCAACCCUUAGUUUUACCCUGGAAGCCUCUUUCUGAAGACUGCAGCUGAGGCUGAGAACAAGAGUAAGAGUACAUCUUCUCAUAAGAAGAUUUGUCUGCUGUUACUUCUGUUGUUUUGUCAUCUGUUAGCACUCAUUCAUGCCACUCAAUAAAGACCUCUUAAGACCACUAUGUCCCUGCUACUGAAUGAAUGCUAGCUCUUGAGGACACCGUGAAGACUAUCCCUCAGUGUCUGCCUUGGAAUUUGUCACCUAUUGAAAACUAUAGCAAGCAGGUGGUGACAAUACAGAGGGGUCAUGCUACAGCGGAUGCGCACACCUAGUCCAACGAAGGCACCUGAGAUGGACAUCUGAAUCAAGUCUGGUGUCAUAGAAGGCAUGGCUAGAAAAGGAGGCUGGGAUUAAACAUCAUCUAUUCUGUCACUGGAAGGAUGGGAAGGAUUUUGCUAGAACAAGAAUGGUGGGAAGGUAAGGAAGGAGCAAGGGAUAUUUUAGGCAAAGGGACUAGUGAGUGCAAGAACAAAGGAGUUGAACAAAGAGAAAGUGUCCGUAGUUCUAGGAACGGCUAAAGGGAUCAGUGUGA